rnacentral:snRNA from 1 species
GUGGUUAACAAAAACAGAGACAGUUAGCACCAGCUUCAGUCUAGAGUCGCUGGGGGACCUCUGGUUUCGCGGGAGCCCGUUGGCGCGUGCUUGCACCCCGCUCCU